rnacentral:lncRNA from 1 species
AUUUCAUCCUGAUGGCUCAGGGCAUCCACAUGCACGCUGCCAGGAUCCAGUGGGGCCUGGUGAUGUGCUUCCUGUGCUACUUUGGCACGUUUGCGGUGGAGUUCAGGCACUACAGAUUCGAGAUCGUUUGCUCCGAGUACCAGGAAAACUUUCUGAGCUUUUCUGAGAGCUUGUCGGAAGCCUCCGAGUACCAGACAGAUCAGGUGUAGCCCGUCCUCUGGCAGGGGGGAGGGAGGCAGGCGCGGUCCCAUGGUUCGACAUGACCUCAUUUACACUUGUUUUGAUGAGUUUGUUUUCCACGUGCAAUCAUGAUCGUAUUGCCAAAGGGCUCGGAGAGUGGCUGCCUCAUGAAGAGCCACACAAAAGCAGCUGCCUGCUGGAAAGAGGGUUCUCUCUGAGCCGCGGUGCCAGAGAGCACGAGGUGUUUGAUCCGUGCUGCCAGGGACUUUGCCAGCAGCUCUGUCGCGCUCUUGAUGCUGAAGAUGUUCAAGGCCAGUCCUCGCAAUGCCCUUCCGAGGCGCGACCUGGGAGCGUAAGAACGGUGGCUGUUUCUUCUGGACUGGAAAUCCAACCCGAAGGGACUGGCACUGCUGGUGAGCACGUGGGGCCUUUCCUCCGUCCUGGGAAGAAGCUGAGGGCACAGCGGGGCUGGGGGACACCACGCUGCCACCAGGUGUCCUGGCAGCAGGGAGGACUGCGGUGCCCAGGCCCGAGGGCACUGUGCAAGGUGCGGUGUGCGGACACCACGGUGGGGACCGGUGGAAGCAAGGUGCUGAAGUAUGACGGGAAUGGCUGUAUGCGCUGAAAAUGACCCAGAAGAGGCUGCUCUUUUAAGUGUUUAGUGUAUCCACUACAUAUCGUGUCAUGUUUUAAAAGCUUUUUUUUUUUUUGGGUUGUUUGCAGAGGGGGAAAAACCUUGUGUUCAAGACUGAGCUUGCCUGCAGUGCAAAGGGAAUCACUGCAGGUGGAUUUUAUGGGGCAGAGGGUGGCUGGUUGUUUUUUUUUCGGUCCUUAUGCACUUAGAAGUCAAACUUCAGACACACUUCAGCCCUGCGUGGGAUCCAAACCUCUCCACGUGGCCAGUUUUCCUGAGAGGACUUGCAAGGUGCUUGGAGGCAGUGCUGCCCUGGAGGCCUGAGGAUGGCAGGUGCUGGAUGGAACCCGCACAACUACGUGAGCCUCUCCCUCCCUGGGGACAUGGAGCUAACUGGACCUUUUCUCAGAGCUGAGUCACCGAAAGCAAGAGCAGUUUUGCUGUGCCCUCCAGGUGGAGCUUGAAUUCAAAGGCUGAGGGAAAUAUAACAACAGGAAACUUCCAAGAUGGUCUGUGGGCAGAGAAAGCAGGAGCCCAAAGCCUGUAUCUGAAAACCCCUGAGCCUGGGAAGGCUGCUGGGUUGGCCAAGCAGGGGAUGGAUGGGAGACGUUUUCCAUUUCCCUCAGCCUCUCCUGAACUGACAUGAGGCAUCUCAUCGCCCAUGUGGGAAGAGAAGCAGGAAUACAGAUGGUGGAAAGGCGUCUGAAGGUGAGCUCUGACCACCCCAUGGCGUUUCGGGCAGAAACAGGAAGGGCAUGAGGCCGUACAGUGCUCUGCAGAGGUCAGGGCCCAAUCCGGCACAGAGAAAUGGCCAAAAAAACCUUGUGUCUAAACCAGCAUAAAGGGAAGAGUUCAGCCAGCCCCCUCCUUGAUCUUCCUUGGGCCAAAAGCCGCGCUCAGGGAGGGAGGCGCUGAGGCUGCGUGUCGUCCCCCGACACACGGGAUGCCGAGGGAGCACAGAGCAGUGCUUUAAGUGUGUUUUACUGUAAAUAGUCCACUGUAGGGGUUUUUUCCUAAACCAAUUACUACUUUCAGUUUAUCAUUUUAUAUUUUGUAAUAAUUUUAACAAGGAAAACAUGAGAUGAUGUUUGUGAUUCGUUUUUCCUUUUCCUAUAUGCAAUCCAAACUGAACUUCAGGUUUUUGGUGGUAACUCUGUACAUUUCUUACCGUAUUUCUAAAAGCACAUUUCAGUACGACUCGAUGACAAGCGAUAUACACCGAAACACGACCACUAAAUAAAGUGCUUUUAUGGAGAAA